UUGGACUUUCCAUUUUGUCCGUCCAAUAAAUCUCCAUCAAUCCGAAAGUCAGAUAAUCAAAUAGGCGUAAUUUUUGGUUCAAGACACAUCUAAACUGAGAUCCACAUUUUAGACAGUUUAAUUUAAAUUACUUAUAUGCCACGUAUUCAAUUUCGAAGCAAUUUCAACUGCCUGCGUAUCAUCCAUCACACUCUUACAGAGUAUCUCACUUUGUCUUUCUUAUGACGGGUGUAUGAACGGAUAGCCGUUAAAAAGUCUCUCCUGGGCUUGCUUUCCUCUCACAGCUCAAAACUACAAAAAAAUGCCUAUAAACCGAUGCAAUUUAAUCGCCAAAUAGUCACCAAAAGACCGUUAUCUGUAUGGAAUUCGCUGAUUCAGGCCUCAACGAGAGAUGGGCUCUUUGCAGAAUCUCUCCAUCUCUACUGUUCGAUGCUCAGAACUGGAAUUCAUGGCGAUAAUUUCACCUUCCCAUUUAUUGCAAAGGCCUGUGCCAAACUGAAUUCCUUACGAGAUGGCACGAAAAUCCAUGGACAUGUGUUAUUAAUGGGCUUUCAACAGGAUGUCUUUGUUCAAACCGCUUUGAUUGAUAUGUAUUCAAAAUGCUCGAAUUUAGCUGCUUCCCGCCAAGUGUUUGAUGAAAUGACUGUUAGGAGCUUGGUUUCUUGGAAUUCAAUAAUAUCCACAUACUGCAGAGAAUUCCAGACUGAUGAAUCGUUUUGGCUUUUGAAACAGAUGCAGGUUCUAGAUAUAGAGCCUAAUUCAAGCACGUUUGUGAGCCUUGUGUUGGGUUGCUGUGGAUCAGUUUCGGUUCUUCGACAAGGUUUAUCGAUUCAUGGUUGUGUAUUUAAACUUGGCUGUGAUUCGGAUUUGCUUCUUUCUAAUUCGAUUAUGAGUAUGUAUGUGAGGUUCGAUAUAGUUGACACUGCACGUUCCUUAUUUGAUUCAAUGGAGGAAAAAUCGAAUGUCUCUUGGACGACGAUCAUGGGUGGGUAUCUGAAGAUUGGUGAUUUCGGUGAAGUUUUCAAUCUUUUCAACCAAAUGCAGCAAGAAAGAAUUAGUUUGGAUUCCAUCACAUUUGUAAACCUUGUUUCCUCUUGUGCCCAAAUAGGAAGGUUGUCAAUCGGUUCUUCUAUUCACUCUCUUGUAAUCAAAAGCGGCUGUGAUCAUGAAGAUAUUAUCGCAACUUCUCUUGUGAGCAUGUAUUCGAAAUGUGGGGAUCUCAUAUCCGCUCGAAAAAAGUUUGAUUCGAUGCAUGCCAAGAGUGUAUUCUUGUGGACAUCAAUGAUUGGCGGUUACGUUCAUGGUGGGCAUGCCAAUGAAGCUUUGAAUCUCUUUGAGAAUCUCUUGAUGACAGGCGUUCAACCAAAUGAAGUUACAAUAACAACCGUACUUUCGGCUUGUGCGUAUUUUGGUUCAUUGGGCAUAGGAAAAAGGGUCGAAGAGUAUGUUAAGGUUAGCGGGUUUGAAUAUGAUUUGCGAGUUCAGACCUCCUUGAUUCACAUGUACUGCAAGUGCGGAUGCAUAGAAAGAGCAAAAGAGAUUUUCAAUAGGGUUUCAAAUAAAGAUUUGGCAGUUUGGAGCUCCAUGAUAAAUGCUUACGCAAUUCAUGGGAAGGGUGAAGAAGCUCUCACUCUCUUCGGGAAGAUGCAAGGAGAAGAGGGGAUUAAGCCGGAUGCCGUUAUUUUCACCGGCGUGUUAUUGGCUUGUAGCCAUUCAGGAUUGGUAGAAGAAGGAUUGAAGUAUUUUUGUAGCAUGGAGAGGGAUUUCAACGUCAAACCUAGUGUGGAACAUUAUUCAUGCUUAGUUGAUCUUCUUGGUAGGGCCGGCUGUUUUAGUUUGGCUUUAAAGACCAUUCUAGAGAUGCCCAUUGAAGCACAGGCUCGAGCGUGGGCCCCACUACUGAGUGCGUGCAGAACCCAUCGUAAGAUACAACUUGGGGAGUACGUGGCCAAGCGUCUGUUUGAGUCGGACCCUUCAAGCACUGCGAAUUACAUAUUGAUGGCUAAUAUGUAUGCCUCUGUAGGGAAGUGGAAGGAGGCGGCAAAGAUGAGAAGAUGGAUGAAUGACCGAGGAUUGGUGAAGGAACCUGGUUGGAGUAAGAUUGAGGUUGAUGGCCUGAGUCAUGUUUUUCUUGUUGGUGACCAAUCUCACCAUCGAUCCGUUGAGAUUUAUGAGAAGUUGGAGGAGUUGAAUGGGAAGCUUAGAGAAGCUGGGUAUGCUGCAGAAACGAAUAUGGUGAUGCAUGAUUUAGAGACUGAAGAGAAGGAGAAUGCACUGAAAGUUCAUAGCGAAAGAUUAGCUGUCGCAUUUGGUUUGCUGGCUACUGAGACGGGAAGCAAGCUGACUAUCAUUAAAAACCUCCGGACGUGCUGCGAUUGUCACUCCUAUUUGAAAUUUGUCUCGAGGGUCACUGGCAGGCAUCUGAUUGUGAGAGAUGGCUACCGUUUCCACCACUUUGAGUGUGGGGUCUGCUCGUGUGGAGAGUUUUGGUAAUGCGAUCCUUUUCAAGGUACCAAGUAUAGUUCUAAUUUCUAGAACUCCCUGACUCGACUUGAAACUCAGCUGAAUCAACUUGAAUCAACAAGAUUUCGAUCCGAGUGCCGGAAAGCUUGGCAACAGAUGUGACUCGUUCUCCACUUGGAAAGACUCAUAAUGUUGACUUGACGCUGACUGCCCAUGAUUCAUACUGAGCCACUCACCUUAUGAAAAUGGUUCAUUAAAAAGGAAUAGAAGAUCGAUGAGGUUCAAACCCUAAACCUCUGCAAAAGGAAAUCAGGUAUUCAUGUCUGGCAGACAAGCAUCUGCAAAUGCGAGAUACAAGUGGGCCCCACAUGCCGACGUGGCCCAAAUGCGCAAUAUAUGAACUGUUCAUCUGAUGGUACAAUGAUGAAUUAUCUGUUAGAAGACCAUGAAUUCUAGCAUCCUUCUGCAUUUUUUUUAUACUGUUUGUCAUCUAUGCGGAAUGCAGUGUUAAUCUGGUAUCAGCUGCACCCAUUUCAUAUCUACUAUGAGAGCUUCCAAAUGGACCGUCAUGAUUUUCGGUGCUCAGGAAGUGGAUCGGAUGUUUUAACUAGAAGAAGCAGAGUGGCAUACCAGGAGUUGAGAUGGAAGCGAAUUUCCUACAACGAAUUGUAGGGAGCACGUGCAACAAAGAAAUCAUGUGGGGCCCACUGCGACGUCAGACUAACAUGGACUGUGUCCAUCAGUUCCACCAGCUCACGUUAGGAUGUGAGCCCAAAAAUCAUGCAUAUUCAAAACUCAGAUGGGCCACACCACAGUAAACAGUGUGAAUGGAGAUGCCCAACAUUGAAAACUUCCUGGGGUCCGUCCACCAUGAUGUCUAUAUGCUAUCUAACCCUUUCAUAAUCCUCUUCCUAAGGUGAGUACCAACGAAGCGAAAACACAAACAUCAGCCUGAUCCAAAACUUUGGUGGGCCCGGAAAGCUAACAAUGCCGUCCAUCCCCAUCCUCAUCGUUUCCUUUGGUGUUGACCACUUUUUUUUUUUUUUUUUUGGUUAGCUUGUUAAUACACCCAUUGUCAGUUCACACUUCACUGUUAGCCACCCCCACUAGGGAAUCGAUACCAAGGCAUCUUGAAACGAGGUAUCUUUCACUCAGUCUGCCACUUGAGCUAUGGGUCUGGAUGUCUUUGGUGUUGACCACUUGAGUUGAUCUGCUGGCUCACAACAUAACUUGGACGGUGUGGAUCUGUUAAACGUGUUGCCAGGUGUACUAUGGUGAAUCAGUGUUUUGAACUACGGCGAAUGGGGAACUGUCAAAUAGCGUCUUUAAACCUUCCAUACGUUUUGGUGGCCCACUUCGGUGCCGUUUGGAUACUACUAAAUAUGUAGCUUUUUUAACGUAAGUCAAUAAGUUACUUUUCUUAAAUAAGUUG